rnacentral:rRNA from 1 species
AUUGAACGCCGGCGGCAGGCCUAACACAUGCAAGUCGAGCGAGCGGCGGACGGGUGAGUAAUGUAUGUGGACUGCCCGAUCGAGGGGGCUACCUACUGGAAACGGUAGCUCAUACCGCCUACUAUCGGAUCACCCAUAUGGGAUUAGCUAGUAGGUUAGGUACUGGCUAACCUAGGCGACGAUCCCUAGCUGGGCUGAGAGGAGGAUCAGCCAAACUGGGACUGAGACACGGGCCAGACUCCUACGGAGGCAGCAGUGGGGAAUAUUGCACAAUGGGCGCAAGCCUGAUGCAGCCAUGCCGCGUGGAUGAAGAAGGCCCUAGGGUGGUAAAGUACUUUCAGUCGGGAGGCGUUACCGACAGAAUAAGCACCGGCUAACUCCGUGCCAGCCGCCGCGGUAAUAC